CCGAGCUUAGCUCAGUUGGGAGAGCGCCGGUUUGUAACACCGUAGGUCGCCAGUUCGAUUCUGGCAGCUCGGA
rnacentral:tRNA from 1 species